rnacentral:rRNA from 1 species
GUAGGGAAUAUUGGACAAUGGGCGAAAGCCUGAUCCAGCCAUGCCGCGUGAUAGAUGAAGGCCCUCUGGGUUGUAAAUAUCUUUUAUCUGGGAAGAAACUCCUCUAUUCUUAGAGGCCUGACGGUACCAGAGGAAUAAGCACCGGCUAACUCCGUGCCAGCAGCCGCGGUAAUACGGAGGGUGCAAGCGUUAUCCGGAUUCACUGGGUUUAAAGGGUGCGUAGGCGGGUUGAUAAGUCAGUGGUGAAAGCUCCGGGCUUAACUUGGAAACUGCCAUUGAUACUGUCAGUCUUGAAUGUCGUAGAGGUAAGCGGAAUGUUGCAUGUAGCGGUGAAAUGCUUAGAUAUGUUACAGAACACCAAUUGCGAAGGCAGCUUACUAUGCGAUAAUUGACGCUGAGGCACGAAAGCGUGGGGAGCAAACAGGAUUAGAUACCCCGGUAGUCC